rnacentral:ncRNA from 1 species
AAUAAUUAGCGGGGAAAGAAGACCCUUUUGAGCUUGACUCUAAUCUGGCAGUGUAAGGAGACAUAAGAGGUGUAGAAUAAGUGGGAGAUAUUAGACUUCGGUUUGGUAUCGACAAUGAAAUACCACUACUCUUAUUGUUUCCUUACUUACUUGAUUAAAUGGAACGUGU